AGGGAAACGUUUCGACACGGCGCACCGGCCGAAGCUUCGGCCGGCUCCGCGUGUAGCGUCCGAUCUCUUGGUUUGAUUUGUGCCACGUCCAUCGUACUUUUCUCACCACACGUCCCUUGUGGGCCCCAAAACCGUGCUUGUUACCUUAUCCCCUUCGCUCAGUCCUCCCCAAAUCAAAUACGAUUCUGCUGUAAUCCGGCGAUGUCCGCCAUCCAUGGAUCCACCUGCCCCGCGCUGCUCCGGCGAGCACCACACCCACCUGCGCCGUGCUGCUCUGGCAAGCGGCCGCAUCCACCUCCCACCGCGUUGCUCCAGCGAGCAGCCGCAUCCACCUCCCACCGCGCUGCUACGGCGAGCGCCUCGCCUCCACCUGCCCCCAUUUUGCUCCGGUGAGCGACGCGCCUCCACCUGCGCUGGAACGGCGGCUACACCGUGGACUAGCGGACGAGAUGCUGGAAACGGCCUUGGCGGGAGCUGCAGUCGGCGACAUUUUUUGCUACAUCCGAGCGGGAUGACCACUGGAACCACAAGCGAGGCGGUGGUGCUGCACCAGCGACAACGUUGACCAGUUGACGGGAUUGACGAUGGCUGGUGGCGAUGCUGGAAACGCCCACCCGGCGGUGCUACAACCAGUGGGGGUGGGGACACUCGCUGAGCUGCAAAGGCCUACAGCACUGGACAUAUUUGUUUCGACAGGAGGGUGGGCAGCACCGGCGAGGGGCGCGCGGGAGGCUACUGUUGACAGCAGGGGCGUGGGGCGCGUGCUGCACGACGGCGGCGAGGCAAGCCGGAGGGGAACUUCGAUCUGCCAGUGGGAGGGGCGUGGCCUUGCUCGAUGCGAGCGGACGGCUUUCUUUUGUUUCCUGUGGCGAAGGAAGAAAACAUUGCGGAUCCAAUCGAGCGGCUGUGGAUGCAUGUAUCGGGCGGCUAGGGGCCGACCGGCCGAAAGGUUUCGGCCGGCGCACCGGCGCUUAGUGGUCGCCUUAUUUUAAUAGUCGAGGUAUUGGAGACUUUGUUUUCUCCGAGUAGAACUUCAGACCGUCAUGAGUGGGACUCGCGGUCUCUUGCCAAGUACUCCUCAGUAUUUCCUUAGGGAACCCAUGGGCGUGCCAAGUAGAUCAAUGCAACCUGUACAUGAUAUACAUGACUCAUGGAGACGGUAGAAUGACUACCCAUCGCCAACUCAAAUCAAGAUUACUCAAAAUAGGAAAUUUAGUGUGCGGACCCAUUGGUAUUUGUAAGACAUACCUUGUGUAGGUUGUUCGUCCAUGUUCAAUCUAUGAAUUGAACAAUGAUGUACAACACCCACAAGUGUUCACGUUAGGGGCUCAAAUCUUCAUUUUCAUCCCAAAAUAUAAGUCAUAUUUUAUUGCUC